rnacentral:ribozyme from 1 species
GGGGUGUGAAAUAGACUUACCUCCACGUGGUGCACCCUGGGCAACGUAUAUUGAUACGGCAAAAAGUUUAU